GAUGAACGCUGGCCGCGUGCCUAAUACAUGCAAGUCGAGCGAAUGGAUUAAGAGCUUGCUCUUAUGAAGUUAGCGGCGGACGGGUGAGUAACACGUGGGUAACCUGCCCAUAAGACUGGGAUAACUCCGGGAAACCGGGGCUAAUACCGGAUAACAUUUUGAACCGCAUGGUUCGAAAUUGAAAGGCGGCUUCGGCUGUCACUUAUGGAUGGACCCGCGUCGCAUUAGCUAGUUGGUGAGGUAACGGCGCACCAAGGCAACGAUGCGUAGCCGAACUGAGAGGGUGAUCGGCCACAGUGGGACUGCGACACGGCCCAGACUCCGACGGGAGGCAGCAGUAGGGAAUCUUCCGCAAUGGACGAAAGUCUGACGGAGCAACGCCGCGUGAGUGAUGAAGGCUUUCGGGUCGUAAAACUCUGUUGUUAGGGAAGAACAAGUGCUAGUUGAAUAAGCUGGCACCUUGACGGUACCUAACCAGAAAGCCACGGCUAACUACGUGCCAGCCGCCGCGGUAA
rnacentral:rRNA from 1 species